rnacentral:rRNA from 1 species
AUUGAACGCUGGCGGCAGGCCUAACACAUGCAAGUCGAGCGGAUGAAGGGAGCUUGCUCCUGGAUUCAGCGGCGGACGGGUGAGUAAUGCCUAGGAAUCUGCCUGGUAGUGGGGGAUAACGUCCGGAAACGGGCGCUAAUACCGCAUACGUCCUGAGGGUGAAAGUGGGGGAUCUUCGGACCUCACGCUAUCAGAUGAGCCUAGGUCGGAUUAGCUAGUUGGUGGGGUAAAGGCCUACCAAGGCGACGAUCCGUAACUGGUCUGAGAGGAUGAUCAGUCACACUGGAACUGAGACACGGUCCAGACUCCUACGGGAGGCAGCAGUGGGGAAUAUUGGACAAUGGGCGAAAGCCUGAUCCAGCCAUGCCGCGUGUGUGAAGAAGGUCUUCGGAUUGUAAAGCACUUUAAGUUGGGAGGAAGGGCAGUAAGUUAAUACCUUGCUGGUUUGACGUUACCAACAGAAUAAGCACCGGCUAACUUCGUG